AGUAUUUGGCCAAAGAAGAAUUCCAGUGGCAUCUCACCGAGGAUGACUCAAGUAGACUUGGGGAAAAAACCAAAGCUUACGCACCAUACCUUGGUGUCAGUGUCGCUGGUCCUGUGGUCAUCCAGCAGAAGGUCUGGGGCACUUCAUGCUUCUGGCUUCCUGAGAUCUUUGCGUUGAGCCCCUUCCUGCACAAUGGACUGGUUUGUGAAAUUAGACCUAUGUGCAAUACACACUGCAGCAGGAUCACUUGAAAAUCCAGGACGUCGCCAUCUCUUAGGACUAUAUUCUGCACUUAAUUUGUCACUUGCCCGCUUUUGUCUUUCUACAGUAUCAUCUUACAGGGAUUUUCACUUUCAAGGUUUCCUUCACUUUGACAGGUUUCUCAGUCGAGUUCCCUGAAAACAAGGCAUUGUAUUACAUGAACAUAUUGUUUGAGUUUAGAGCCAGGAAAUGACAGCAAAACAUCAGUGUCAUAUUUGGAGGACUUCCUUGCAAAGUAAUAUAAUGCCUUGUGAAGUGAACAGCCUCAAAGGAAGAAAAUUAACAAAAUUAGUGGAUAUGUUAUCAGCUAGUCAUGUGUCUGCUGUACAAGAAUUAAAUAAAGUGGUUAUUAAAUCUUGUGAGAUCAGGAAGGAAACAAAAGAUACUGCACUUUGGUUAGGUAAUGAAAAUCUUUUCUGAUAAAAAUCUUUGGUGCAAUGCUGCGCAGAACUGCAGAGGGAUCAACUGUGCGAGUUAACUACCAGCUUACUUUUAAACAGUUAAAUGUCACGUGAUGAUGGUCCUGCAAAAUUAGCUCUCUUGGAGCGCAGAAGUAUCUGUUGUUGCGUCUUCAUGGGUGGCUGAGUCUCAGCCCAUUAGACACCUUCAUUAAUAACAGCUGGCUUGGUGCUCUACGAAAGCUAAAAUCCUUCUGUCUCCUGAUGCAGCAGAAGAUAGAAAUCCUCUGUAUUUGAACUCUGUUACACCAGCAUCUCUUCAGAGAUGAUACUGAAUUCUUAAGCAAUCUGUAUAUGAGGCUGUAAAUUUAAUUUUAUUGGAUUAAUAUUUUAUCCAAGGCAUAUUAUUUUAAACAGUUCUUUUAAUUCUUUUCAGAGGCUAUUUUUUAAGCUUUUGCAUUAUAAAGCAUUUGAUACCUGCCACACAUUAGGGUUUUCUUUUCUUCUUUACUCAGUUUUGAGAUCUAAUAUGAAGCCCUAUAGAUUAUAAGAAGCCCAAAGUUUAUAGAUAUGUGUUUCAUUGUGAUUUUGGAAAUAAGUUUAUUUCUGCAUAGAAGGUCUUGACACUUCCACCACACAAUUGAACACAUUCCUAAUUUUCUUCUGCAGUCUAUUGUGCUCUUUGAAUUUUGAUUUCACAACAUGUCCUUUAAAUAUUUUUUCAUGAUAUACGCCUGACUGUACUUUUUAAGGGGAAAUAUUUUCUGUUGUAAUUUCUAAGAUGGUUUUAUGUUGUGGAUAGGCUGGUGCUUACCCAAAAGAAGCUAGGAGGUAAGCAAGAGGUAAAGGUUGUAAAGUAUUAGCAUUUACCCUGAAAAACUGACACUAGCUCGUUGAACAGGAACCAGAGUGUUGAAUAUUUUUGAUAGAAAUAAAUAUUUAGCAGCUGUUUCACUAGAAAAGAUAGAUGAAGGGCACAUAAAUUAAGGAGAAAUACAUUAUCCAAUAAAGGGACCUAACUACUAAAGUUGAGCAGCAGUGUUAUCAGCAAUUUUAAGGCUGUGAACUUUUCUGUUUUGCUUUGAGAGCAUAGAAUAAUAUUAUCAGAGCUAAGACAGGAAGGUCAAGAAUUCCGCUGAAUUUGAAAAAUUUUCCUGAGGAAUUUAUUUGUACAACAAACAUGUCCUAGCAGAGGUACUUCUUCCCUUGUGUUGAAGUCAGCAUUCCUCUCUAACAUUUUUUCCCAUGAGGUAAUAAAAUCUCAUUUGUUCAACUCCCAGAAAGGAGGCCUUCAGAUCUCACAAAGCCCUGACUCGGUUGGAAGGCUGCUUUCGUACUUUUGUUUAACCUUAGCUCAGUGACACAGUGUGUGGCAGAUGCAGUCACUUCAUCCGAGUGGUUCAUAAACCCUUUUCUUCAGUUUGAGAAUUUCACUGGUUACGUGUACUUACUCUGUAGGUUGUCACUGGUCAGUGAACUGGCGUGAUUUCUCUAAUUUAUACCUGAAAGAGGAAGUAUUUGGGAAUCAAGGAUUUUUUUGUAUUUAUAUGAUGUUGAUGAGUCUUUAGUUGUAGUUCAGUAAGUGGCUAUAUGUAUUGCAAGAAGUGGUGUAAUCAUCGUUGCCAUUUUGCCAUUCUUAAGGUCGUGAAACAAGGUUUUGAGUAGAUGUUGUUUCUAUUAAAGAUGUAAUUUGCUUCUUUAAUGAAGCAGUAUGCUUUCAUCAGCACACUUUAAUUUGCAAAUGUCCUUAUAAGCGGUGACGGCAAAGGCCAUGAAAAUACAAAAUUUACUUUGUUUUUUAUUCCCUGAAACAAGACCUGGAGCUACAUUCAGUCAAGGGCUUAAUAUACGGAAUCAGGCUUUUCUUUUGUUUUCUCUCACCACCUGAAUCUUGUGUUCUUUAGUGCCUGGUGACAUAGCUGCACAAGAAAGAAUAAGGUGUGUCCUUACUUGAACUAAGAUACAACUUGAGAUGUGUAAUUUGCUUUUAUGUGUAUAUAGCAUGAAGCUUUUGUAAGUUUAAUUCCUAGCAUCAGAAUAUUCAGCAAUUACAUCUUGUCAUAUCUAGAAUAUCGAUAGGUCAUUGUAGGAAUUAAUGAAGUUGUAAAUUGAUAGACUUUGUCCAAAUUUUAAACAUUCUUUGUUUGCGUGCACUAAAGAAAGUGCUGGUAUUUUUUGUGCCCUAUACUAGGAGCAAAAGGAAAACAAUUGACCAGACGGGUAGAAAAAAGUACCCUGUAAAAUAAGGUCAACUACUAGAGCAAAGCAGCAUAGAUGUCACCAUGAGUUUAUGUUGGAAGGAAAGAUACUGCAAGAAAAAAUAUUAUCUCCUGAAGUACCUGAAGUCUCUUUAAGAAAUUUAAGGGAUUUUAAUGACUAGAUGAAACACAAUUUGCUUCUUGACUGGGACCAUCUGGGAACUGACAAUGUGAGUUGACAGGUCUUGCAACUGACUUUUCCUCUGACUGAUCAGUACCUCUGUAUAUUACUAUAAAUUGCACCUUGGCAUAGCAUUCUUAAUGGCUAGCGCUGCUUCAGGAGUCACAAACUGCUGUAUGAGCACUUACUGCUCUCAGGUUCCCACGAGUUUUUAGAAGUAGCCAGAUAAACUAUGUAUGUGCAUGUUAGCAGCCUUCAUGUUUUACAAAUGGGAAAACAGGCAUGCAGAAGUGAACUAGCUUGCUUGAGAUCCCCCACCCAGGAAGAGAACCAUAGUGCCUGGAGCUCCAGCCAUGUUUUGCCUUUGCUAGUACACAUGGUUGCUGUGUGAUCUGCAAGUCUUCCUUGCCCUGCUGUGCAGCAUGUAAAAUGCAAUUAAUACAACGUUCUGCUUUGAAAUGUUUGUAGUGUGAUAGGACAGGUGAGGUAAAUCAGGCUGCAUUCAGGUUUUGUGUUGUGUACAGUGUUAUUACACAUAGUUUCAGUAAUUUGCACAUGAAAGAUGACAUUUUUCUCCACCCUUUUUUUGGACCCUUUGAUACAAUAUAUAAUCUAUACACACCACUGUCGUCUCCCCACGACCAGCAGUGGGGAGGCUGAUGAUAAGUCAGCAGCUUCUGCUCUCCAUUGCUGUACAAACAUGCUGCAGCCAGCAGCUGGCUGAGAGGGCCAGGGACAUGCAUGGUAUCUUCAUAGUUUCUUGAGUUUACAUUUGCUUUAUCCUUAGGCUUUCACUAGAUAUUGAAAGAAAGAGGCCCAGUCUUUCUCAAGAGAGGAUCUUCCUCCAGGAGGACAGGAGGUGAAGUUUACAAGUGCCCCAGUCUCUCUCUACUGCCAGCCAGUCCUUCUUAACCCCUCAAGCCAUCCCUUCCCCAACUGUUUUCUUUACUCUUCAUUGCACCUGUGUCUUUUCUUUUGGAUUUCCCCCUAGAUGUAUUUCAUAGUUCUUAGUUUCCCUCCCUUUGCUGUAAAUGUUCAUACAUGUGGGAUUUUUUCACCUGAAAAACCAGUAUACCUACUGUGUUCAGGGUACACUUCCUCUGAGACAGUAUGUAUUUUUUUCUAAUGGAAAGCUAGAUUUUUACAAGAUGCAAUAAUUCUCUUGAGAUUUCUCCUAUCAACCAGGUAUGAAUUGAACUGUCAAGCCUCAAUAACCGUAACAUACCUAACUUGAUGUCCUGGAGGACUAGAAAUGACUGAUGUUCAGGCCCACACAGAUACCAUAGAAUUUAUCUGUCAAACACCCAAACAAUUAAGAGUUUAAGAACUGUUUUCUCAGAGAUCAGGAAGUCUGAGAAGUCUGACCGUGGCUGGUUGCUGGCAGAAGGACAUGCCAGGAAGAUGUAAGUAUGAUCUGCAGCUUUGAGGCUCAUGAACCAAGGCAUUUUGUCUAAUUUGCCAGGCUGGGUCUGCUGUUUGGGAGCCUGUCAGUCACAGGUACUGCCUGCUUGCUGCUUGUGUCCUCCUCAGCCUCCAGCUUGUAGGAAGGUGCCUUCCUGUGUGUCCAGUGGUAGUUCAGUGGUUAGCUAUACAUUUCUGACCUGGUUGUGUCAUAGGCAAUUUAAGGUAAGAGUUUACACUGCUCCUUUGAAAGUUUCUUAUGUUUUAUAAUCCUUUUUUAAAUUCAUUACCACAUACCAGAUUGGUUCAGUAGUACGUACAAGGUCUGCAUUCCCCUCAGGUACCGUGGCAGAGUUAGGAAGUGCCUUCCCCAAAGCACUUCCAUACAUUUUACGGCAAAAAGAAAAAGAAGUAUUAUACACGCCACAAUAUGCACCAAGCAUACUGUUUAUGCUGUUCAUAGCCUGCAAGGACUGUUCACAUCUGCAGGGUGAUGCUCUGUACCAUUUGUGCCAUUUUCCUUCCUUCACUUCUCAGUCUCAUUCAUCAGUUUAAUGAUAAGGGACUUCCUUUUCCAAGGAAAGUUUAGUUUAUUACCCAUGUGGCAGUUUAGUUAAUUACCCACUCACCUUCCCAUAAAGUAGAUCUCAGAUAAGGUUCUGUUUGCUUUAAUAUGUAUCUAUAUUUUCUGUCAUAUGUUGGUAAGAUAAUCUUUUAGUUUCCAAGACAGCUCUUAUAACUGAAUUCCAAGGGGAAAGCUUCAGACCCUUUCAAGAGACCCCCCAGUACAUACACAAGGCAGGGGAGAUGGAUGCAUCUAAAAGCCAGAUAUAAGUGGGAGAAAAGUGUCAGCCCACUUACUCCCCAUACCCUGGGCCCUAAAAUUGCAGCAUCCAGUGCCACAUCUCUUUGUUAUAUUCCUCCUGACCUGUGCCACCUAUUUCUUUGGCCUUCCCUCUUAAUCCAUAGUCCUCAUUUAUGCCAAAUUAUAACUGAAGGAAAUUGUUCUCCCAUAAUACCUUAUUCAGCUGCUCUUUUAUCACACACUGAUCUACAUGCAUUUCAUUAAUUUCAAAAUUAUUUCCAAUGUCUUUUGAACUCUUAUGCUGAAACUACAUUUCCUCUGCAUAAAUGAAAACAAGUACUCCAAAGGCUUUAACAUGGAACCUGCAGAGUUUUCUCCCAUUUUGAUCAAUGGUAGAAUUUCAAAUUUAUAACCACCAAGACUGAAUUCAACAGCAGCCAUAUGACUGACUUCUUGCUGCAUGUAAGUUAAUGUCCAUAAAAAGAAAAUAGUGACACAGGCACCGUUACUUUAUCCACACAGGAAACUGAUCAAUGAACUAUGCCUGUGCAGAACUAAACUCCUGUUUUCAAGACUUCAUUUUCACUCUUUAUUUUUCAAUAGUGAAUUUUAAAAAUAUUUAUUUUUCUUUAUUGUUCUGACUACGAUGCUGUUUGGGUUAAAUGUUGAAGCUCUGGAGACCAUAGCUGGGUACACAAGAAUGAACAAGCAGCAUAGGCAUUGAAAUUUCUGUCUCUAGAAGUGUUGGGGUGAACGAAGGAGUCAGGUAAGGACCCCCAGUUCUUGUGAGCCCCCACCUGGAUCACACAGUCAGCAGCCUCUGUAAUCUUGUGAAACGUGCCAGCACUGAUGGCAACAUCAGUGUAUUUCAGAGUGUUUAGAGACGGCAGCCUUCCAACAAAAAUGGGGUUUCCCUUCACAGCAUCAGAAAUAGCACCAGUGAGAGGGCAACCUUCACACCUAAACAGCCUUGAGACAAAACAGAAACUUCUGUACAGGCAAGAUGGCCUGUUUUAAUUCCUUCCCCCUGUGACAACACCGAAGAGUUAACCUGUAUUGCUGUUACAACUGAUUAUUUCCACUUUUGUGGAAUGUUGCAUCAUUUUUAACACAAACAUGCCCUACUUUUCAAAUACUGUAGGGGCACACUGUGAACAUGUCGGGGAAAGUAAAAGUAGUCUUGAUAAAGUCUUGCAGUCUUGAUCCAAAUACCAGCUCAGUAACAAAUUUCUUAGGAAGGGCUUUGCUUACUUUUAACAUUACUGAGAUGGUUAUGUGGGUGGAGCCCUUAGGACUGUGAAGGAUGGUGCUUUCCCUCUGGGCUUCAUUUAAGAUGCUGAAGAAGGAAUGGGAAGCUGAUACCUGAUGACUAAAGGAAGGAACUCUUUGCUGACAUAGAAACCCAUCUCCAUAUUGUUUUCCUCAGUUACAGCCAGCCCCCCAGUCCUUGCUUUUCAAGGACCUCUAGCACGCCUCCACCCUUCCUUAACUUCCUACUGCCAAGUCCUGUUCUUGCUAGAAAUGCAAGGAACUUUUAAACACACACUAGUAACCAGAAGCACAUUCAGUAUCUUUUUGUUUAAUUUCCAGGGAGCACUGACCCCAUUUAGACAAAGAGAUGAUGAGGAAAGAAAAGAAUUAAGAGAUAAAAGGUUUAAAACCCCACAUUACUACUAAUGUAAAAGAUUAAACAUGCUAUGUGCAUGUGCAACACAGAAGAACACUGACUGGUAUAUUUGCUUUAACAGAUGGAGUUACUGUGGCAGGUGUCUUUAAAGCAUAUGCAUAUAGUUUUAGUUAUGUUAUCCAUUGCAUAUAGCUUAAAUGUCCAAAUAAGUGAAUAGUAGGGAAAGUCCAGUGCCAAGGCCUCUUAGGGAAUAAGCUGAGUUCCCUCUAGUGGCUUGCUGUGGCAUCUCGGAGGGGUGGCCCUGAAAGGACCCGUUUGGGGAGCAGCAACUCAUCUCUCCCUGUUACAGCUCUGCCCAGAACCCAUACUUGUAUUAGGCAGCUGAAGGGUAUAAUCACUGAGUAAUUCUUAGUGAAGGCCUAAUUGCAAGUUAAUUUAAAGUCAGUUAUGUAAACAGAUUAAAUCAAUCCUUCCCUGUAUUUAUUUUUCAUCACGUCACAAUCAGAUUCAAUGACCCUUCAAAAUUCUCUCUCUGCUUUACUCUACUGCUGCAUUGAGUUGAUGUCCACUGCUAAUAUUUGCUGCUGCUAAUACCUGUGUUAGGCAGAGGCUUUGUGAGAUGACAGUGAGUCAUAAUCAUCUGUGUGAUGUCAUCAGGCACUCUGGGGGAAGGCUCUGCAGAUGGAAAACACAGCCAGCAGUAGCUCAAUCUGUAUACGUGGCCCAGUGUAAUACACUUAUUUGUAGUGAACAUCAGGCAUUAAUUUAUUAGGCAAAAAUAUUUUUGAAUUAUUGUUGUACUGGUGCGUCAUAACACUGAAAGGAUAGCAACCAAGAAAGAAGAAAGCAAAAAAGAAGUUAAUAUUUUUGUUUUUCUUCAGCUCAUGUAUUACCAAAAAUGCAGCUGGAGAUUAGGACAAGUGAAUUAGGCAGGAAACCUUUAUUUGUAAAAGAAGAAAUCCGGUGCACUUUUGGCAGUGCUCAAAAUAUUCUAAAAAUAGUGUCUUUUGUAAAACAUAAAGUUAUGAUUGGGUCCCUGGGGUUUUAAAAAUACAGAAAAAUCAUAUUCCCUACUCUGAACUUAUGAACUUUGGAGGAAAUUUCAAUAAAUAAAACUGUAUGCUGUUGCUCUCUAUCCUAUGCUUUUAUCAUAGGAAGCACAGUUUAGAAUAUGUCAUAAAUCAAGGGCCUAAAAGCUAGACACCUAUGUCUAACCCCAGGUAAUUCAUGUCCAAAGAAACCUCCUACUAAGCUCUUACAGAGUAGUAUAAAAUCUGAUGCUUUUUUCAUCUCUCCUCCAAACUCUUCUUUUUUAAAAAUAUUUAUAAUUAAUUUGGUUAAUUAUGGUAUUCAUAAAUGCAAAUAAAUUACAAUACUUUUCAGGCCUGCUGCAUUUCAACUUCAGUGAUAUUCUUCAACAAUAUAUUCCAUAGACUAGACAACCAUUAAGUGACAAAUUAAAGAUUCACUGCUACAUGAAUGUACAGGAUAUGUACAUGUAUGGCAUAAUGAAAGCUAUGACUUGGUUAGCAAAAAUAUUUAAGACAAAAGAAUGAGUCCUUUUAAAGUCCCUUUUUUAUUAAAAGCAUCUUAAUUGCUGAAAACAAGUUACUUGUAGUAUACCAUCUCACUCUGUAUGAAGUUAGAACUAAUAAAAUUGUAUUCUUGGACUGUGCUCACACUGUAUAACUAACACCAUCUUGAUCAACACAUUUCAAUUAAAAGCCAUACAUUAGCACAACUGAAAAUCCUCCUCUACUUAGAAUAAAACAAAAAAAAUACUACAGCUUAUCAAAAUGCCCUUAAUGCUUUUCACUGAAGAAGAUUCCAAUAUUUCUUAUUUUCUCCCAAAAUAACUAUCCAAUUGGUCAAAACUAAGGUGAGGUUAAGUGUAAAAUUUGCUACUGGGAUGAAUUCUUUCCCAGUAUGUAGACGUUUGCCUUCUAGUGCAACAUACUUUCAAAAAUACAGUUAUAAUAUAUUGAAGACAUCAUUCAGCAAUAUGUAAAAGUGAUGUGUUCAGAUACCGGCAAGGCUUAAUUGCAGCAAAAUAUGAACUUAUAUGCAUAAAUACAGUUUUUACUUAAUUUUGACUUUUAAAAUAGAAUUUCUAUAUGACAUUCCAGAUGAUUACUGGGUUUAGUGUACCUGUGCCUCACCUUUCACUGUGUUUAACCUAAGCUUUUUAACAAUGCCCUAUGAAAUUAGCCUGACUGUUCACCUAACGUGAAUGAACUAAUUGAAGUUCAGAGCAUGGAUCACAUUUCAGACUCAAUCAGCCCAGCCUUUUGCCAAGUUAGCUAUCAUUUGGAAUUGGCAGAGCAUUAGACAGGUUUUGCAAGACUUGACAUUUUAGCCUCAGCUCUGUUCUGGAGGCCCGCAUGACAUGAACACAUCAUCUAGGUUCAGAACAUCAGAAACUGAAGUUCCCCGUCAACUCUGCUUCCUCACACGAACAGUCAUUCUGAUUUAAUGGAGGUCUGGUAGCAUCACUGUGUCAGGCCAAAUUUUCUCUUGCCAGUGGAGAGACCUGUUCCUGAACUGGAGGACUUUUCUUGGAAGCUUGACUCUGAAUUUUCCAUAUACUUUGCCCUUCCCCAUAAUGACUCAGACUAUGACUUUGUCCUUGAUCACUGUGUUGAUCUACAGCAUCUUGGAAGCGAUCUGUACUGAAGGAACCGAGACUGUCAUCUCAGUUCACACAUCUUAGCUGUGAAAGCGUCAUCUAUACUCUGAUAGGCAAACCUGACACAGUAUUACUGCAGCACUUCUUCAGGAAAACUACAGUAUUUUUUAUUGCAGAAAGUACAUCUUUGGCAUGCAUCCUUGAGCUGUCUUGUCAAUUCUGUAAACUGUGUUCAUUUUUAUUGCUUGGUCUCAUAUCUACAUACCCCAGUACACCAUUUUUCAUAUUUAACAACAGCUUCUUUGCAUUCAAAUUUCUGGUAGCUCUGGUUUUGUGUUACAAAAUUAGUCACGUGAAGAAUAAAAAAUAUUGCUGUGAGUCGAAUGAUCUCAUCAGCAGAAUAAAUAUAAGAAAACAUUUAAAAGAUAGUAUUACCCCUACCAUCUCCUCCAAAGAAAUUAGAUACUGUCAUAUUUUUGUGAAUCUAGAGCUUUGUUGAAAGAAACUUUGUAAGAACUUUUAAACAUUCUGCAUGCAAACUGAGUAUUCCUGUCUAAGCACAGAAUCUGCAAGAGAUAAAAGCAAAGGAGAUAUGUAACAGAUGAAAAUUUAGGGACAUCUUAGCCAUGAAGCUAAAUGAAGCUUCAUUAAUGAUUUAAUCCUUCAUAAUACUGAGAUAAAGUGCCCCUCACCCUGGGAUCUCGACCAUGUGUCCAGACCAAUCUCCUGCCCUGGCCGCUUAACUAAGUGUGGAUCAGACAGCAGGACUUCUGCAGUACCCAGGAGAGGAAGGUCGAAGUGCUGGGAGAGAUAUUUCCAAGAGAAAGCAAGCACAAACAUGCACUCCAUAUGCAAUCAGUCUCAGAAAACUGUCACCACAGGUCUAAGGCCUGACUCUACAGACACUUGCACACAUGCCUAUUUUUUCUGUUAGUGAGUGGACUUAGUGAUGUGGCAAUUCAUAACAAAAUUAAGCAGGUACUGAACCUUUGUUCAUGCCCAGGACCUUACCAAAGAUCCAUGUGUGCCCAUUAACUAUGAAGUUACUAAUAAUUUCUCCACAAACUCUAUAUACCCCUUCAUCAUUUUCAUUCCCACUACACAGUGUGCAUCCCACAAAGGGCACUAAGGAGACAAAUAGUUAUAUUAUAAAAUAUAGAUGAUGGUCACCCCAUGGACUAGGGCGAGACCUGCCCCGUGAGAAGGGUGUGUUGUUCCUCCACCAUCACCUCAGUGACGCACUCAUGCAAAGGACUGUUUGUGCAGUCUUUCAAGGCAGGAAGAAACAUGGUGUGAGCUGCAGGCCUUUAUUUGUGAACUCUUCAUGGUCUCUAACCCUCCCCAGCCAAGGAGGUGAUAUCAGUUCUGCUACCAUGGGAGGACAGCAAGGAUUUGUGCCUGCUUGAUGGGAAAAGACUGUGCACGGCAUGACAUGGCUACAGUGCCAGUGUGCUUCUCUGGGAACUCCAAUGGUGAUGGCUGAUAGCUUGUAUUAAAUGAAGGAGCAGAAAGAGAUGUCACAGCUGGUGCAGGAAAGUGAGAUGUAGAUUCUGAGGACACAAGAGGAAAUAAUUUCUUUUCCUUCAAGGCAGGUGUGUAGUUCCAAGGUGGGAUAUCUGAGAUGUUUCUCGUGUAAGCUGAAUAACUACACCAUGGGGAGAGCUGCACACUUGGAGGUUUGGAAAGUGUCUUUGGUACUCCAGAAAAAUUGCUUUGCUAAGGCUCACCAUAUUAAAGUCUAAUGCAAACAGUAGUUCCCAAUACCUGACCAUAGAGCAAUCCAGGCUCAAAGGAACCUUGGGAGUCUUCUGGCCCCACCUCCUUCUCACAGCAGGGGCAGCUACAAUGUCAGACCAGGUUACUCAGAGCCAAUUCUGAUCAUCUGAAAUGGAGCCUGGCAGAGGGUUGGAUGGCCGAAUGCCUUAAGUCUUUUCCUAUCAUACAGGAUUCUCCCUGUCAGAGAGUUUAAAUAUAGCUCCAUAAUUCUAAUGGUUUGGGAAAGCUCUGACAUCAAUCUGUCCCUGUUAUCUGUAUGUUGAGUUCAAAGGGCUGAAAGGUCUAAAAUGUUUAAGAAUGAGCUAGAGGGAUUAAAAAAAUCACAGUGGAUCUUGUGUAAAGUCUUUUAAUUCUUCAAUUGUUGUCUAAAAACAAAUGGUUAUUUAGUCCAGUGUCCCUAGAGAGAAUUUGUCCCAGAUUCGUGGGAAAGCAUAUCCUUAUGUUACACACAGGCAACCAAGUACACACACUGUAUUCAAAACUGAACUGAAUGUUUAUACGGAUUUAAAUUGUGAAAAAUUGAACAGAUGAGAAAAAACUAAGUGAUCCAUCUUGGAUAAUUAAUUGGUUAUACUGUUCUACAAACAGAGUGCCCAGCAGGCUUAAGAUAACCCAUUACGUUUGCCAGGUGGCAAAUUUUGCAUUAACCGUUCAUGAAAUCAAGUGAAUACAUGCUGGAACCACAAGUUUCACAUAUAUGUUACUCCACAAGCAGAGGUCAGUAAAGCAUCUGACCUGUCCGUACAUUGUGUCCCACAAUAUGAAACAUUAUCCAGUUUAUUUUUGCUUUAUACUUUUGAAAGGAUCUAUAUGCUCUUUGUUUAAGAGAAGUUCUGGAAAAGGCCAGAUAGGAUAGUGAAGAUAGGUGGAAUUUACAAAAUAGCUGGUGAGCAGAGUAAAGACAUUUGAUGUUACAAAAAUAAUACAAUUCAGAGGGUUUUUUCCAUUAAAAUUAGCAGUAUACCUUAAAGCAAAUAGGAGAGUGGAAAAAAUAUGACAAUUGCUUUUGUCUGUGGUGUUGAUUAAAAGUACUUGACUGUAUUCUUUUCUUUGGAGAAUGAAGUAAUUUUUUCUUUACUAUCUAUUAAAAGUAAAAAGUGAUACUGUAGAAUCAAUACUCUAACUCCAGAGAAGACAUUGCUAAGGUUCGAAAUUUAAUUUUGCUCUCUCAAGUCACUUAAACCUUGGACUUCCUGCCAAUUUGCAAACUAAUCAGCCUAGAGAAUCUUAUGAUAGAGGCACCUGCUGCUAGGGAACACAGAUUAAUAUUACCAGCACAUAUUGAGUAAGCUACAGAACAGCCAACACAUACUAAUGAUGCCUGGGCUGCAAAGUCAGCUGGCAGCCUCGAAACAUCCCAUUGUCAGUCCCCUGUGCUCCACAGUUGUCGCAGCUUCCCAGUACCAGCACAGGCACUUCUUGCCAGAGCAACUUUAGCCUCUCUUUUUUUUUUAUUUAUUUAUUCCAAAGUAGGUCAUGCUGUGCCAUCUGUUGACACUUAAAACCCACAGAAGUUUCCAGAUUCCCUAUGGUAUCCCACAGUUUAACAUGUAUUUUUACUACCCUGUUGCUCUACCUCGCUGUUGUAUGUACUGAGACUACUAACCACAAGAGCUCAUUCAAUCCCCUAAUGCAACUGAGCACAGGUCUUGAGGUAAUACACUAGAGAUAAGUAUGACUGAGAGGGGAGGGAAUACAACAAAAAGGGUCUGAUAUUUUGCUGAUGGUGAAUCCUGGACAAUACUGCUUUCAACAGAAGUGCUCAUGUCCACCUGCUUUCUACUCUUCAGCAGCCUUGUUGAAACCUAGGGAAGCAGUCCUAGAGAGGUAUAUAGUAGGUCUUGUCAGGCUGCCAUUAAAUCUGCUUCUCUUGUUUUCUAAAGGUGAGCACGUGAAAUGAAGAGCAUUUCACAUCCACGGUUGUCUCUGCCUUACUUGCACAGCACCUUCAGCAUUCUGCCAUGUGCCUGUUCAUUAUGAAUUAAUCCACAUACUGCAAGGAUGAUUUUUUUUUUUUUCAAAACUAGUGGUCUUGAUUUUAAGUAAUGACAUUCAAGAACGGCACAUUGCCAUGUGGGCGAAUAGGGGAUGCAUCACUGGCAUCGCACACAAGUCCUAACAAGUGCCUUUAGUAUGUAGUACAGUAAGCAGCAUUGGUAAAGAAAGGUGAGCUCACACCCAUAUGAUAUAAAACAUACACAAAACACAGUACAGGGCACACAGACAUCUGUUGGUGCAUGAACAUUGUGCAUUAGAAUAUAGAAGAUGAACUUCUAAUUAAAAGAACUAGUCCUGGCCACCCUGCUACUAGAUAACAGGAUGCUUUUUGAGGCAUACCCACCUUCUACAUGAUAACACUGAGCCACCUCUGUCUCCUGUUUCAUGAAAAGAUUUGGGAUAGUAGAAUCAGAGUCAGAUCUCUAUAAAGUGCAAAUGCACAGACCAGAUCUGAGGUUUAUAACAAAGUAUUAUAAGGUAAGUAAUAAAGUACCCAAACAAACUGCAAUGCAGAAUCUCUAAUAUGUGCUUAAAAACAAAAUGCUUACCUCUAGAGAACAACAAACAGUCUGGAGUAACUGAAGAUCAAGCUCUCUUGGGCUAGAAACAACUAGAACUCAUCACUUAAGUUUGCCAGAUGGCAUUGGGCAAUGUAUGACUUCACCUUAAAAUCGUUUUAACCAUUAGUGGAAACCAAAAUUGAUUGGACUUGCUUGUUCAGCAAUACAGUUUGACCUUCACAGUUUGCAAUUGCCAGUACUUGUUCCCAGGUCUCUGCCUAUACUGCAUGUCCUGGUUUCCUCGAAUUUUAAGAAUACAAAACCAUCCUUGCUUAAUUUCACAGUAAACCCAGGAUUAUAUAUCGCCCAGUAUAUAUGAUGACUUUACUGACUGAAGUAGCUCACUGAAGACAACACGGUUGCCAGACCCUCCACAAGAGAAGCAACAGCAGGAGCACAUGCCAGGAAGUAUGGAAGGAGGUUCUCCCAGUAAGCAAGACCCUCUAAAGGAACCACACUUACAGGUUGUGCACAGAGUGUGCAAAUUAUCUGGGACUGUGAAUUGGAAAAUGAAAAACAACAUACCCAUUAUUAUGUUAACUGAUGUUAGUGCUAAUUAUGUUACAUAUUACCAGUUUUCAAACAUGCAAGUUGAAACUCUUAGGCUGGCAUAAACUCUGUAAUGCUUAAAUUUAUAAAAUUAUUGGGUAUCUUACUGCUGCAUGUUUCAUAAAUCCUCAUGGCAGACAAAGAGGAUUCCAAGGAUAUCUUAAGUGGUCACAUAAGUAAAUCAACCCUCUCAUUAUCUGAGAAGUCUCAGUUGGAAAAGAAAACAGCAAGCUGUGAGUAGAUAACAUAAUCCCUAAAAGUAAUUUAGCUGCUCCCCGUGAGUGGUAAAUUUUCCUGGAUGAGCCAGAGCUAAGUUUGUCCCACUUUCAGAUGCUGACAUUCCUGUGCACUCCACGCUCCUUCUUCAGCCUUCCAAACAAGCAGCUGGGUUGUUUGGGGGCAGCUGCCACAGUGCAAUUUGCUCUGUGGCCAAGCCUUGCCAUUCCUAUUAGCUGUGGCUUGACAUCCUCAGUUGUAGUGCCAACACAGCCUAAGCCAGUCGUUAGACUAGAACAAGGGCUUUGCCCUUUGUUUCCCUGCACCCUGGCCAUGCUCUGGAAUGUCCUCUGCAGCACUCUGUGCUGACUGCUCUCACCUGACCCCCAUUUCAGUGAUCCGGCAGAAAAUAACUCAGCCAAAAAGCCCCUCGGUUUUAAAUUCUGUAAUCACAGGCUGCAUCAUACGGGGCAUUCUCAGAACCAGGUGGAGGAGAGACUGCACAAAAAGUACAGGAGAGGUAGGAGCAAGGAGGAAAAGAAAAUAAGCUUUAGGGAGACUGGGGCAGGAAACAAGUGGAGAGGUGAACUGUGCUGGCUGGGCAACAAACUGGGAUUGCAAAGACAGAAAGUUGUGAGAAACAGACUGGUGCCUAGUGGAGGCAGAGAAUACAGCUAUGAAGAGGAACAGGACAGGAGAAUUAGGAUCAAUUAGGUGAGGAGAAUGGGACUGUGAACACUGGUUUGGAGCCUGGUGGGGCAAAGUAGUACUUUUUGGGAUGAUGCUGAGUAGUGAAGACUAGAACUGGCUAGAUGUGGUAAGUGGGGCUGUUACAAGCACCCAAGGAAAAGGCAAAGACAGACUGGGAGGGCAUUAGUGGAAGGAGGUGAUGGGUGGGGAAGCAGGGGCAAAAGAGAGUCCUGUAGGGUUUGGGUAAUCAAUAGGAAAAGGACCUUGCUCAUCUUCUUUGGAGAGGGGAAACUUGCAGUUCAGCACACCAAAGCACCUCUACAGGUGACAGAAAAGUUGUGGGGAAAGGGUACAGUGGAUAAAUCAUGUCUAAAAUGAACAAAAAGGGAAUUUCUGGUAAUUAAAUGAAUACCACCAGAAAUUUGUCAUUUUGUUUCUGUUGACUUCAACUUUUGUCAGGUAUGGGUUGGUUCAGUAGGCACGGUCCCUGCUAUAUGGUUUGUAUCUAAAAUCUCCCAGUGAGCACUUCACACCCAUUCCAGCUUCUGAAAAACCACUGUUAGCGCUAUGUGCACACAGGAUUUUAAACAAAUGUCAUGUCACACAACACACUACCGACGGGACUGGGGGGUGAAUGGGAAGCUGGGAGGAGACACAGCCGGGACAGGUGACCCGAACUGGCAAAAGGGAUAUUCCAGACCAUAGGACAUCAUGCUCAGUAUAUAAAGCAGGGUAACAUUUGCAGUGAUGAUGUUUGUCUUCCCAAGUCCGUGUUACAUGCGAUGGGCCCUGCUCUCAUGGCGAUGGCUGAACACCUGCCUGCCCGUGGGAAGCAGUGAAUUCAUCCCUUAUUUCGCUUUGCCUGUAUGCAUAGCUUUU